rnacentral:rRNA from 1 species
UACGUAGGGACCGAGCGUUGUCCGGAAUCAUUGGGCGUAAAGAGCGUGUAGGCGGCCACUUAAGUCCUGCGUGAAAUCCUGCGGCUCAACCGCAGGCGGUCGUGGGAAACUGGGUGGCUAGAGUGCGGGAGAGGAGAGUGGAAUUCCUGGUGUAGCGGUGGAAUGCGCAGAUAUCAGGAAGAACACCCGUGGCGAAGGCGGCUCUCUGGAACGCAACUGACGCUGAGACGCGAAAGCGUGGGGGAUCGAACAGG